rnacentral:rRNA from 1 species
UUUUGGACAAUGGGCGAAAGCCUGAUCCAGCAAUGCCGCGUGUGUGAAGAAGGCCUUCGGGCUGUAAAGCACUUUUGUCCGGAAAGAAAUCCUUGGUUCUAAUAUAGCCGGGGGAUGACGGUACCGGAAGAAUAAGCACCGGCUAACUACGUGCCAGCAGCCGCGGUAAUACGUAGGGUGCGAGCGUUAAUCGGAAUUACUGGGCGUAAAGCGUGCGCAGGCGGUUUGCUAAGACCGAUGUGAAAUCCCCGGGCUCAACCGGGGAACUGCAUUGGUGACUGGCAGGCUAGAGUAUGGCAGAGGGGGGUAGAAUUCCACGCGUAGCAGUGAAAUGCGUAGAGAUGUGGAGGAAUACCGAUGGCGAAGGCAGCCCCCUGGGCCAAUACUGACGCUCAUGCACGAAAGCGUGGGGAGCAAACAGGAUUAGAUACCCUGGUAGUCCACGCCCUAAACGAUGUCAACUAAUUGUUGGGGAUUCAUUUCCUUAGUAACGUAGCUAACGC